rnacentral:lncRNA from 1 species
AAACUUUCUGUCAUCAACAGGUGAGGAAAUAAACCUCUGUGGGGAUUAUAAACACCAAAUGUUGACUGGAGCAACUGUAGCAAAUGCGUUGUACAGGUUGAACAAAAAUCCGUCUCUGCAGGGGAUACGGUUUGAUGGGGUUUCGAACACAUGAAUGCAUAUGUUUGAAUUUUUCUAUGGCGUAAUGCUCCAUUUAGGAAUGGAAAUGCUACGCGAUUUUUGAAGAUGCAAUGAUCACUACAUGCAAAAUGCAAAUGAACCCUGGCUAGGGAGCCAAAAUGAUCA